UCAAGGGUAUUGUGAUGAGGUCCUCCAUUAGUUUUUCGCAUUCUUCUAUUAGUUCAUCAUGGGUGUCUAGCCCUUUAAUAGAAAGAGCAUUGCAUAGCCUUACUCCCUAGAGAGUGAUUGUAUAGUAAUGCUGUGCUAGCAUCGGAUCUCCUUGGAUCUCUCUGACCCCAUAUUUCAUCAGAAACUUCAUCAGCAGAUGAUAGGUUGAUACCACAAUCUGAAGGGCAUUUAGCCACAGUCGCCCAAGGA
rnacentral:lncRNA from 1 species